UGCAGGAGGCCGCAGGGCUCCUAGGCCAACGUCACCCAAGGGUUUGCUGGCCACAGACACCGAGGUAGGAACGCACCUCACCGCUGAGCUACCGAGGGGACCUCGCCAAGAUGGAAGACUUGAAAAGUCAGCCCGCAGAAUGGGAGGCAAUGUUUGCACACCGUGUGUCUGUUCUCUGAUUUAUGGAACUCUUGUCAUGCCAGGGAUCCAACUCAGAAUGUAUCGGUCUGACUGCUGCGUAACAAAUGAACUUAACACUUCAGAGCUUAGGACAAGAAAGGUUUCCCUGAGCUCAGUUCACCGGAGGAUGGGGUGAUCCCACCUCCCCAUCCCAGAGCCUCAGCUGGCUGAGUGAAGAGCAGCCUCCGCCACCACCUAAAGAAGCACAGGUACUGAGAAUACAAAAUGAUGUCGGAUGCCUUUGAAUUCAGACUGCCAUAUCGAGCAGGGGUUCUGAUGGCUCCUCGUGGCAGGCAGGCUGGGGGGAGCAUUUGGUGCAGAGAAGCACAGCUUUGGGAGAUGCUGAGGUGGAAUAUAUGGCCCACCUGGACCAGAGGAGACAGACAUCAUCAUCCCGUACUCACUGCAGGGUGCAGCAGCCGAUGACUUGUCGCUCACCAACAGAAACGAGGCACACACUCUGCAGUUUGCAAACCUUCAGAAAGGCCCUGUGGCUGUCUCUGCCUGCUGCCCCACCUGAUGAGGAGACACCUUCUACCAUCCUGGGCUGGAUCUAGGCUCGAAGCUCACCUUCUGGCUUUUUAAAUAGCUCGAGAGCAGCAUCUUUACGCCUGGAUCUUUGCUUUCAUUGAGGCCGGCCUGUGCCAAGCCAGACUCUGUUGGAAGAAGAGUGCUAAAUUCAUGCUGAAGCUGUGGAGCAGCCUCGACGCUCCCCAGGAGUGCACAGAGACCAGAGCGUCUUCUUCUGGUCUUCUUCCGUGAUGCAUUUGGCAGUGUGGUAUUUUCCAUGUGGAUUCCAUGAGCAUUGUGUGCAUUAACAGAUGGCUUUGGACCCUUCUCUUUUUUUUUCUUUUUUUUGGUACCAAGGAUCAAACUCAUGACCUUGUGCUUUCCAGGCAGGUGCUUACUCUGCUGAGCUAAAUCUCCAGCCCCUAGACCCUUCUCUUUCUUUAUCCCAGGAAUCGGGCUCAGGGUCUUACGCUUGCCAGGCAGGUGCUGUGCAGCUGAUGAGCUAUAUCCCCGGCUCCUUUGGACCCUUUUCUUAAGUACAUGCCUAUCUUUUAACUUUCUUUCUUUCUUUUAACUGAAUCUUGCUAUGUUAUCCAGCUUGGCUGUGAAAUGGCCUUAGGAGGUCCUCCUGCCUCAGCCUCUCAAGUAGCUGAGAUCAUAGGUGUGCUCCUGUGUGCCUUAAAUUUUUUUUUACUAGUUUCUUUUUUCUUUCUUUUAUUCUGUCUUUUCUCUCUCUGUCUCUCUACAUCUUUUUUCUUUUCUUUCUUUCUAUUCUUCCUUCUUUCUUGUUCUGGGGAUUAAACCUAGCACAUUCCACUAAGCUAAAUCCCAACUCAUUUUAUUUAUUUAUUUAUUUUUAUCUUGAGAGAAGUUUUCACUAAAUUGCUAAAUUGUCCAAACUAGGCUCAAACUUGAGAUCUUCCUGCCUUUGCCCCUCAGAGUGCUGGGAUCACAGGUGUGGCCUCUCUGUUUCCCUUUUUAAAUCCCUCAUCCCCCCUCCUUGUGUUCAGAGACCCAUCCACUAACCCGGUUAAUGCUCACAGGUUACUAACUCUUCUGGGUUAAAAUGUGACCUGCUUGGACCUGGAGCAGGGGCCGGGCCUGCCCUGGCCUGCAGUGAUGUGCUCGCUAUGUCCCCUUGGGCAACUUGCUUUUCUUCUUGGGGGUCUCAGUUUCUCCAUUGUUAAGAGGCUGGAGUGUCCCGAUGAGAGGUCUGAGGAGGGCCCUUAGCCAGGCUGAGGGCUGCCUCCACCUCUCACCUCUGCCUUCCGCCUGGCUCUCAGUGCUGUCUGAUCUGGCCAGCUCCAGCUUCCCCUGCUUCAGUCCCAAGGCCCCCUGGCCACUGCCAACACCCUGAUGCUCAGACACCCAGGCCCAGACCUGCCCCUGGUGUGGAAAGCACCAGGGCAGGGGCUGCUGGGAGCAGCCUCGUUCUGACCUGCGGUGCUACUGUGUUUCUGCUCUUGUCUUCAAGUGAAGUGUGCUUCUGGUGGUCAGUGAUCAAUUACCUUGUAAAACAGUGCAGUUGGUAAGAUCCUAUGUAUGUGUUCAUCAGAGGGGCCAUUGCCAUGGUUGAUUGAUCAGUGAUUUCGUUCUUGGACUCACAGCUCAUGGAAAAUCUUUUGGAAAUGGAGGUUCUUGUUCCAAUGGCUCCAUGAAGCUGUGACUUCCUCACUAGGUCUGCAAUGACGGCAGAGUGUGGAAGGACAGAGUAGCAUUUAGUGGGCACCUCUUUCACGUCCUAAGUCGUCCAGGGGACCUCCUGCCACUCCCUCCAAGUCCUUGUGCGGUGAAGUGUGUAACAGAAGAGCAAACUGGGGCCAAGAAGCUACAAGCUGUGCUGGGACUUCAUGGAGAUUCUCCGUGUGAGCAGAGCUGGUCUCCUGACGAUUGUUAUGGUUUGUGUCUAGAUGUCCCCACAAAGCCCGUGUGGUUAUAGGUGGGGCUUUUCAGAGGUGGCUGGAUCUAGGGCAUGUGAUGCUGGGAUUAAAGCUGUGAUAAUGGGAUUAAUGCUGCAAUGCUGGGAUUAAGGGUGCCUCUCCCUGGCUGUGAGUGUCACCGACCUGGGUGCCCUGGAUAGAACAUAAGUGAGAGAAAGAGAGCUAUCACUGGUUGCUUGCUGCUGCUGCUUCUGUUGCUGCUGCCUGUCUUCUGCUGCAUUCUGCCUGCUCUGUGAUGCCCCUCUGCCAAACCCCACUGCCUUGGAGCCUGCCAAUUAUGGACUGAAACCUCUACAAACUAUAAGGCAAUAUAAACCUUUCCUGUAACUUUGGGUGUUGGAUAGUUUGUCUCGGCAACCAGAAAAAGAACUAAGGCAAUGAUCAAGGCCAGGUAGGUGGGGCAGCCAGCUACCCCUUUGUCUGGGGGCAACCCCUCCUGCAACCGCCGGCCCUUAGAUCCAAGGGACACCUGGCCACUUCUGACACCCAGUGUGCAGUCUGUUCACUGUGAUUGGCCCAGGAACAGUCACCUGACCUAAAUCAGCCAAUCAGAGUCCCUGGGAGUGCAGAAGACUGUGGUCAUCCUGAAGCUGCUAGCAGCUGUGGGCACCAUCUUUAGGAGAGUCAAAAGAGCGGGACAUCUCAUGGAAGGAAAUUGAGGAGGAGGAAGAAAGGCUACAUCCAAACGUGGCCCUUGACCACCUGAAUCCAGCUGCCGGCAAAACAGUUGCAGCUCACCAGAUUUUCCUGCAUAUCCAUCAUCAAGUUCCCUUUUUGAUUUAAGCCAUUUUGUGCGGGUUCUUUGUCACUGGCAAGCAAGAGACUCCUGAGAGGUGCGCUGUAAGGGAGAAGACGAAACAUACCCUAGGCAGCGUCUCUGCUGCUGAGCUCAGAGUCUGCGAGUGGCAGGGAUUGGCCUACAGCUUUGUGUGCAUCCCGCAUUUGAGGAAUAACAUGGGCCAGACCCAAGAGGAGAUGGAGCCACUAAGACCCGAAGGUCCUGAUUGCAUCGUGUGUAAUGUGGAGAGAGAGGAAGCAAAAAGCAAAAAAAGGCCCGGGUACCGAUAAAAAGGAAAAAGACAAAAAAAAAAAAAAAAAAAAAAAAAAAAAAGGAAGACAUCUUGCAACUUUUCUUGUAGGUUUGGAAAUCUUCAAAAACACAAGUUGAGUAAGACAAAAGCAAAACAACCUAUGUUCCAUCCCAUGCUGGCAAACAGUGGAUAGUGUUGGGGAGCUGCCAUUUUGGGAGCCCCCAUCUUCCAUGUACCAGAGAUCAGUUUUCCCACUGGUGAGGCUAAAGAGCCAGGUGACCUGUUGGAUCAAGCUUGGGGGCCACUGCCUCAGUUUACAUCUGCCCUGUGGGUGCCCACAUAUGACUGUGGCAGGUGGUGGAUUGUCACAGAGCAUGGCGUCUUCCCUUCUAAAGUUCAGAGGCACAGUUCCUCCCUCGUGAGGUGUUCGGGGCUCCUUACAUCAGCCUCUGUGGGUGAGGCCUAUCUUCCCUGGCCCAGAGGUGCUGGUUAGUACCCUUUCCGGAAUGCUGGCACCACACUUCCUCUAAGCAGGCAUCCAGAGGAGACCAGUGCACUGGCUGGCAGAAGAGUUAUCUGUGUGUGUGUUGCCUCUGAGGACUCUCCACGCUUUAUUCUCUGAGUGCUGCCCCCAUCUACCCAUCUGCACUGGGCUGGAGGAAAUCACCAUCUUCACCUGUAUGCUGGGAGGGGUGCACCCACCCAUGCCUCAGGGGAUCGAGCCAACAGCAGGAGAGUUCCUAUCUGGGCCUAUCCCUUCCCUAGCACCCACUUAGGUCCUCUCUGGGUCACUGCCCUGUGCCCACACUGGGGACCUCAUUGGAGAUACCCACUGGGAACUUACUCUCCAGAUGCCAAGACUCAAAUGAGUCUCCUUGUUGUAGUUUGUAUCCAGAUAUUCCUCCAAGCUUCAUGUACUCAGAGGUGGGGCUUUGGGGGUGAUUGGACCAUGGGAUGUGAUAUGCAUUAGUAGAUUAGGUCACUGUUGAGUUUAUAGCCAAAUGUGAUGUUGGGAGGUGAAAGCAGGCUGGAGGAAGUGCUUGCUGGGGAAGCACUGGAAGGUCCUGGCUCCCUCCUCCUCCCUUGAUCUCUCUCUGCUUCCUGCCUGCCAUGCCAGGAGCUGUUCCUCCUCUGUGAUGUCUCCUCUGCCCUGCUGCCCUGCCUGGGAGCCAGCCGACUGUGGACUAAAACCUCUACAAACCGUGAGCCAAGGAAAACCUUUCUUCCUUCUUGCUGUGGGUGUCAGGUGUUGCAUCUCAGCGAUGAGAGUCACUAAGACACACCCAAUUUUCUUGUGGUGGAAACUUAGUCUUUAAUGCAGCAGUAUUGAAAGGUGGAAAACUUUGGGGUAUGAGUCAGGAAGUUCCACCCUACAAAUUAUCUAAUCCUUUUGUAUAUUAAUGGCUUCAUGGAUUGACGAGCCAGAGGAAGCGGCUUUGUGGUAAAGGUGCUCUGUUUCUGGCACACUUGGCCUUGUUUUGCCUGCCACUCGAUGUCAUGUUACAAGCUGAUGAGAAGGCCCUAACUAUUGGCUAGUGCCACCCCCAGAACCAUGAGUCAAGUAUACUUCUACUCUUUAUAACAUGCCCAGCCUCGGGCAUUUUCUCUGAAGAUGAACUGGGACAUCAGACCACCAGAAGUGAAAUAUGGAGACAAUGCAUCCCCAGCACACACAGCUCAGGUAACGAGUUGAGGCCCAUGGCAAUCUGAAGGAAAAACAAAGGCAUGGAAUUGCUGUCCUUGAGCCGGUGCCUGCAGAAGCUCAGGUGCACAUUUAGUAGCAUGCUCCCUGGAGUAGAAGGUGGCCUUGUUGAUACUGUGACCCUCAACAUCAACAGCUGACUGCUGCCCCUCCUCCCCGCCGGCAUGAUUGGGAGGGUCUGAUGGCCGAGCCCUCUGUGUGCUUUCCUGUUUUCAUCACCCCAAUAGAGGGAUGGUGGCACCAUGGGGUUCACACUGUGGUUCUGAUGUCCUAUUCUCUGCAUGAGCAAAGUUGCCCUCUUUUUCUUAUUUGGGAGUCAUGUGUCUUCUUCUUUUCUGUUAAUUCUCUUCUUGCAUCCUUUGUCUGUUUUUCCCUUGGGUGGCUGGUUUCCUGUGUUCCACUUAGUACCAGGCUUUUUGUUGGUGACUUUGCAGUUUAAAAAUUGUCCCAGGCCCAGGCCCGUGGUGCUGUCCUGUGUCCCUGAGCCCAGAAAGCCGUGAGGUUCCUUCGGAAGAAGACACUGUUCAGGUAAACUUCGAUCAGGCGUGCGGUGUGGGGCUGCACCAGGAGUUCCUUGUUAGAGUCAACCCUGUGUCUGCCAAGAAGAGGAGGAAAUUGGCCACUCCAAGCACGAGGCUGAUUGGAAGGGCUUGGUUUCCCCUGGGAACAAUCGUGCUGUAUUUGCUGCUGUGAAUAACAAGAACUGACUUAUAGAAGUGGUUUCUGGAUUGUAUGUCCUUCUUAAAAGGCAUGCUCACGUGGAUGCUUUAGAAAAUGACACUGUUUCAUCUUCUUCUACCUUUUGAUCCUGGACCCCAAGUCUCCUCUCCAGGCAGCCUCGCCCCCUUGCAGGCUGUCCUGGGAUGUGGUCACUUUCUGUUGUGAGCAGUGGACUGGUGUCACAGCAGAGCUGACAGGUGACUGUGAAGGCCUCGUGUCUACCUGGGCACAUCUUCAGUCUGAAAGAGCCGGGCCCUUCCAAGACAGGCACAGGCAAUGGGGAUUGAGCCCACUGGAAAAAACCCAGAAAUCAGGCAGGCCGCCUUCACUGCUGAGUGGAAACCCGAUCUGCACUCAUGGAGAAUAAUGUGGGCCCCUGCUUCUCCAGGGGACUCUGGUGCUCCAAUUGCCAGGUGACAUGGAGCCCUGCUGGGUGCAAAUUGGAAAUUUAGGGCAGAGAGACCACUGCCAGUCCGGGUGUGAGUCAUCCCUGCUCUGCUAGCUGAGAGGACAACACAGCCAUCGUCAGAACUGCCCGGACAGCACAUGUAGACACUGCCCCAAGGACCUGCCAUGUCCACCCAGGGGUGCCAGCUCCAACCCCUGCCUGGAUCCUUGCCACUUUGUCCACAGACUCUCCCAGUUUGUACCCUGAGCAUGUCCAUAUCUGACCAGCCCUAGAAUGUCCUGUUACAACAGGAGAAGAGGACUUGCCCUUGGCAAACUGGAUGGCCCUUUCCAUUGAGUAGCCAUUUGCCUCUCCUGCUGGGAAAGCCAGGCCAAGAGAGCAGUGUGCCGUAGCCAAGGUAGGAAUCUGCCCAGAGUCAGGGGAGCAACUUCCAAACCCAUUCCCUCAUCCCACACAUACACACUUCACUCUCUCAGCAGCGGCAACAGCUGACAUCUUUUGAGGUCUUCCUGGGCUGCUAAGAACAUCCAGGGGACUCGUCCAGCGGCUCCUGCAUAGCCUUGGAAGCUGGGGGCCUCCACUGUCCUGUUGCCUGAUGAUAAAACUGUAGUUCACAGAUGUUAUUAAAUGCAUUAGUUCAAGUUAUGGCUUGCAGGACUAGAGUCAGGUCCCUGAGCCUUCAUACCCAAUGCUGUGCAGGCUGCUUCUCCCUGGCCCUCCCGCUUAUCUGAUGGCUUUGCCAGGGGUGCCUAUCCACACCCUCUUUUGUGAAGAUGCAGGCCAGGCAUCCAGGGAAGCCACCUCUUCUUUGAAGCGAAAGCAAAGUGCAGAGUGAAAGUGUUCAUGGGCAGCCUGUUGUGCUUCCUUCUAACCCUGCCUAUUGUCACUUCCCAUUAUCUCUAACUGCUUCCUUGUGCCAUGAUAAAACUCUGCAAAUGCCAUUCACGUGGCGUGAUCAUAUUUGAUUGUGUAGGAGUAACAUGGUUUGCUUAACCUUUUUCCAAUUGCUGAACAUCAAGAUGGCUUAUUAUAAAUAAUCCUUCAGUGGACAUCUUGAUGUACUACCAUCCCAUGGCCAGUUGCUUUGUGCGUGCAAAGUUUCCCAGAGGUCUUGCUCCAGCCACAGCUCUCCAGAAAGCUGUGCCAAUCUGCCAGGCACGAGGCACAACAGCGCUGCCAAGAGGAAACUUACACCACUGUCAGGGCUCCCCGGCAGUGACAUUGUGGAAGGCAACAGCAGAUGGGGCUGGACUGGGGGUCAGGCUGGAAGUCAGCAAGCGCCAUGACUCACCUGCCUGCCCAAGAGGACAGAGCCCCAAGAGAGGAGCCUCACGUGACCGAGGGCUUAGCACAGAGGCUGGAGGACAGGCCAGAUGGCAGCUGCUGGGCGGGGACAUGUCAGAUCCUCCUGGGCUCCCUGCCAGGAGCACACCUGCUGGGCGUGGAGCUCAGGCACCAUGAGUGGCUGCCCUGUGCUGUGUUCCCACCUGGUAGCAGUGCCACCUCCAGGAGCCCUCAGGGUGAUAUGAGGCAUUCCUGCAAAGCCUUAGCUUAGCACUCACCUAGUGUUGGCUAUAAUUAUCCUCAGUGUCAUUAUGAUCAGGAAGGCUUUAAUGGGGUUCUAGUACUCAUGGGGCUUGAAACCCAGCCCUGGUCCCUCAAAAAUCCCUAGUUCCAAUUCCUAAUGCAAAAGCUGCUUGGUGCAGUUUGGAGCAGCCUGUCAGUGGAAGCUGGGCGACACCAAGAUCUCACUAUGUAGCUCAAACUGGCCUUGAGCUUGCAAUCUUCCUGCCUCAACCUCCCAACUGCUGGGAUUACAGGCAGGCCCCGCCUGUAAUCCUGGCUGUACAGAUUUCAUCAGAGAUCAGGAGUGGAAAUCUCAGAUACCUGCUCAUCCCAGGACAUUUAAGGGGCUAAAGCCUCAUGAUCCAGACCAAAACAAAUAGGAUCUAUAAUUGUAUAUGUAGCAUGUGCCUACCCAGGUGCAAUUAAAUCCUAAAUCUUCCCAGGAGACAAAGAGUUGAACCACAUUUGCUUGUUUGCUUGGAGUUUGUUGAGCAUCUCCUAUGUGGACACCCACUGCGAAGAGACUCAGAUCCCCUACAGCCGGUGUGGCGGGAAUUCUAUAUGGGGAGUGACACUUUGCACAAUGAAAAAAAAUUGCUUUUUGGUGGUGGUGCUAGAAAUUGAACUCAGGGCCUCAGGCAUGUUAGGCAAACACUACCAUGGAUCUAGGCAUCAGCCCUAAAACAUUUUUUUUCUACUUUUUGUUUUACAAAUGUUGUAUGAUGAGCAUUUGAUUUUAAACGAUCCAUACUCCCAGGUAUGGCAGGACGUGUCUAUAAUCCCAGCAGCUGGGAGGCUGAGGCAGGAGGUUUGCAAAUUCAAGGUCAGUUUGAACUAUACAAUGAGACCCUGUCUCAAACACAUGUACAAACAAACAACAGCAACAAAAAAUCAAUAUGUGUAUCCAGACAAUAAAUUAUUAUUUGAUAUUAAAAGGAACAAUGUUCUAAUAUACAGAUAAACUUGGGAAAUAUUAUGCUUAGCAAAAGAAGACACAAAUGGUCACCUUCUGUGAGGUGACAUUUGUAUGAAAAGUCCAGACUAGAGAAGUCCAUAGAAACAGAGAGUAAGAGAGUGUGUUGCCAGGGGCUGGGGAGAGGGCGGAAAGUGUGGGACUGCUAAGAGGGAUGGGGCUUCCUUUGGGGGUGCUGAAGUUUUCUGAGAUGAUGGUUGGAUACCACUGAGAAUGGACUAAGAACUGUGUACUCUAGGGAAUUACUUAUAGGGUAUGGAUUAUAUCCUAAUAAGGCUAUCAAGAAAAAAACCAACACACGUUAAAAUUUGGGAGGAAAGGACAUGUUAUCUUUUUAAAUAUAUAUAUAUACGAAACAAAAGCUGGAUUCUAAAGCAUGGUGCCACAGGGCACAGGGCAUGCUGGAGAUGUCCAGGUGCCCACUACGGGCAGCCGGUAUACUCAGCCAUUGUGCUAAUUUAGUCCUUGGUGAUGUGGCCUCUGUGCACCUUCUUUUCUCAAGGCUCUGUUCUUCACUUCUGAGUGACAGUCACCGCCUGGUCCUAUACCAUCAGAUGGGCCAGGUAUGGCCCAGGGGUAUUGAGCCCCUCCCUCCAUGUGCUGCCCAGUGGUGGCCUGUGCCUACCUCUGGCUGUCAGAGCAGUGAGAUCCCCAGCAUCUGUCUCUGGGUUGGCUGACUGUUUUCUUGGUGGUAGGACCUGGGGCACCAGCCUGCCCUUCAGGGCCAUUGGAGAGCUGUGCUCAGCAUCAAACCCUACAAAGACUGGGGCUCCAGGAAUUGCCUGGAAGGAGCUACUCCAAGAGGCUUAUACUGGUAAACUGCCCCCAGCAAACCCAGGGGAAUGACACAGUCUGGGCCCUGGCAUCGGGGCAGGCUCUGCUCUGCUGCUGGUCUCCCGCCAAGUGCUCACCCUGCAGAUGGUGCCAUGAUACCUCCAUGUGCCAGGCUUUCAAAGGACCUGGAGCCUCCUUGGGGCUUUGGGCCUUGCACUUGGACACCCCGGCCCCCGAGUCCUGGCCACACCAGAACCCUAGUCAAUCUUCCAGGCAGGUAACGGGGUUUCCAGAGCCAGAGGAUGCUAAAGUGCCAGAUGUGACACCCUGGGUGGAGAAGGGCUGAGACGGGGCCAUGGAAAGCACAGUGGUGAAUACUCCCAGAGCUCAUUGGGUGCCCCCUUACAGACAAGGAAUGGGGGCACUGAGGCUGUGGGCGAGGCUGGAUGGUCUCUGCCUUCCUCCUAUACCUGUGGGUCCACUUUCUCUCCCAGUAUGGGUACUUUUUCUUUUUCUCCUCUCUCCUACUUUCCCUUUUUCCUUUCCCCCUCCCCACUCUGUCCUCCCUUUUUCUCCCCCUCUUUCUCACCUUUCUUUCUUUUUUUUUCCUUCCCUUUUUUCAUUCUUCAGUGGUGGGGUUGGAAUCCAGGGUCCCACACAUGCUAAGCAAGUGCUUCACCACUAAGUGACAUACCCAGUCCAAUAAUUUUACUUUAAACAGCAUUGUAAGAGCCAGGCAUGGUGGUGCAUACCUGUAAUCCCAGCACUCAGGAGGCUAAGGCGGGGGGGGGGGGGUCAUUGUGAGUUUGAGACCAGCAUGGGCUACAAAGUGAGCUCAAGGCCAGCCUGAACUGCAUAGUGACAACUGGCCUCAAAAAGACAAAAAAUAAAAUAAGAUAAAAUAAAAGGCAUUGUCUGCCCUGCCA